CCGUGUUAGCCAGGAUGGUCUCCAUCUCCUGACCUCGUGAUUCGUCCGCCUCAGCCUCCCAAAGUGCUGGGAUUACAGGCUCGAGCCACUGAGCCCGGCCAUUAGCUGACUUUUUAAUUCUAGCUGUUCUGAUCUAGUACCAAGUCUUGAGAACAAUGAGAUAGCCUCAUGAAGAGGUCCAUGUAAUGAGGAAAUAAGACUUCCAUCCAACAGCCAAAGAGAAACUGAAGACUCCAGCCAAUAGCAAUGUGAGUGGGCCUUUUUGAAAAUGGACCCUCUGGGCCCAGUUGAGCUUUCAAACAACACAAAAAAAACCCCACGGCACCUCAAGCUAACAGAUUGACUGCAGCUUUAUGACAGACCCUGAGCUAGCAGCACACAGUAAACCUUUUGCCACAUUCUUGAACUUCAGAAACAGUGAGAGAAAAUGUUGUUUAAAACCAUUAAAUUUUGAGAGUAAUUUUUCAUGUAGUAAUAGAAAAGUACUACCAAAGGAAAAUAUUAGUGUGCAACUAAAAAUUAAUGGAAGUCUGUUAAUAUUAUCAGGGGCCUCACAAUUAUCAGUACAGUCUGUAUUAUUGUCCAACAAUUUUAUGAAAGAUAGGUAGAAGAGUUAUAACAGGAAACUUGUCAUGAUAACAAAGGAUUUCAAGCAACUAAAAGGACAACUGCCAAUAUAUGAUGCUAGGACCACACUGACACAGGGAUUAUGCUAUAAUGACUUUGCGUUGUCCAAAUUAAAUCUGUGUUACUGUAUUUUGGAAGUGUCCCUUGUAUGAGUGCACAUAUAAUCUAAGAAAUGCACACUUUAGCAAAAAUAAGCUCAAGACAAAUUAAUACUUGAUCUUGACAGGAUGCAUUUCUGAUACAAAUGUAAACCGGAACAUUAUUUCUUUGAGAUAACUUAGUAAUAUAUUUUGAAAGCCUAAAAAUAUGCUUAAUCAGUAAUUAUACUUUUAUAUAUAUUUUUUAAAAAUCUCAAUAAUUAAUUAAGAUUCACCUUGUUUAAUGUAGCAUUGCUGCAUGCUGGAAAUAAUUUAAAAAAUAAAAAAUUGAAAUAUCUAAACAUAAGGGCUUGAUUACAUACAUGUGACAUAUUGUAUUUAAUGCCAUAAAUUUAAGUACUACUUUCAUUGCACCCCACAAAUUUUUCAUUUUGGUUUAGUUCAAAAUAUUUAAAGACUUCUGAAACUUUUCUUCUUUGUCCAAUGUUAUGUAGAAGUGUGAUGUUUAUUCAGGGAUUUUUUACUAUCUUUCUGUUAAUGACAUCCAACUUAAUUAUAUUAUGGUCUGAGAAUAUACUUUGUAUGAUUUCUAUUAUUUUAAAUUUGUUAAGGUGUAGUUUAUGUUCUCUAUCUUGAUGAAUGCCCUUUGUGAACUUGAGAAAAAUGUGUGUUCUGUAGUUUGUUGGAUGAAUUAACAUAUAAAUGUCAGAUCAUUUUGAUUGAUAGAGCUUUUUAGUUCAUCUGUGUCGUUACUGAUUUCCUGCCUGCUUGAUUUAUCAAGGACUGACAGAGGACUGUUGAAGUAUUCAACUAUAAUAAUGGCUUUGUCUAUUUCUCCUUUCACUGUUAUUAGUUUUUGACUUAUGUAUUUUGAUGCUUUUUUAUUAGGUGCAUACAUGUUUAGAAUUACUAUGUCUUCUUGGAGAAUAGAUCCCUGUAGCAUUAUGUAAUGCCCCUUUACGUUCAUGAUAAUUUUCCUUGAUCUGAAGUUUGCAUUUGCUCUUUGUUUCUGUUUUGCCUUUCUUUCCUUUUCAAAUUUUGAGUAUUUUAUAUAACCUCAUUUUGUCUUCUCCUUUAGUGUAUAAAUGAUAUUUCUUUCAGAAAUUUUGUUAAUGGUUCUCCAAGAGUUUAAAGUAUACAUUUUAAAUUAAUCUAAGUCCACUUUCAAAUGACACUAUUCUACUUCAUGUGUAUUACAGACAUCAUAUGACAGAAUAUUCCCAAUUCCCAUCUGAUAUGGUUAGGCUUUGUGUCCCCACCCAAAUCUCUUCUUGAAUUGUAAUCCCCAGGUGUUGAGAGAGAGACCUGGUCGGAUGUGACUGGAUCAUGGGGGUGGUUUCCCCCGGCUAUUCUUAUGAUAGUGAGUGAGUUCUCUAUAAAACAGGACCUGAUGGUUUUAGAAGUGUCUGGCAUUUCUCCUGCUUGCCCUUCUCUCUGCUGCCACCAUGUGAAGAAGGUCCUUGCUUCUCCUUCACUUUCUGCUAUGACUGUAAGUUUCCUGAGGCUUCCCCAGCCAUGCAGAACUUUAUAAAAUUUUUGCCAAGACCAAGCUGACAUCUUUGUAGAAAUUAACAGGCUAAGCCAGCUGUGGUGGCUCACACCUAUAAUCCCAGCACUUUGGACGACGAAGGCAGGAGGAUCGUUUGAGCCCAGGAAUUUGAGACCAGCCUGGACAAUGUAAGGAGACACCAUCUCUACUAAAAAUAAAAAAAUAGACAGGUGUGGUGGUGGGCGCUAGUGGUCCCAGCUACUUAAGAAGCUGAGGCGGGAGGAUCACUUGAGCCCAGUAGGUUGAGACCGCAGUUCGCCAUGAUUGCACCACUGAAUUCCAGCCUGGGAGACAGAACAAGACCCCUUCUCAAAAAAAAUGAAAUUAACUGGCGAAUUCUAAAAUUCACAUAGAAUUGCAAGGAACCCAGAAUAGCCAAAUAAUCUUUAAAAAAAGAAUGAAGUAUGAUAACUCACAUUUCUCUAUUUUAAAACUUACUAUUGUAUAAAACUAUGGUAACCAAGAGAGUGUAGUACCAGCUCAAAAACAGACAUAUAAAUCAAUGGAACAGUAUUGCUGUCCCCAAAAUCAACCAAUACAUAUAUGGUUAACUGAUUUGUGCCAA
rnacentral:lncRNA from 10 species